UUCUACUCCACCCUAUCCCUGACACUAGCAGCCACAGAAGGCCUUCCUCUGUGGCCACCUCAGUGGUGUGACAUCACAAUGUAGUCCACUCAGGACAUAUGUUUAACCUCCUAGAACUGGCCUGCAGUCCCAGAUCCUCUGCAACGGAGUCCAGCUACCUGCUGCCUGCCGCUGCCUAAUCAGGUGCACCUGGUGAGUAUUCGGAACUUCUCCCAGGCCAUGGAAGGAGAUAGGGCCAGAAUGGCUGCUGGCACAGUGCCUUGGAAUCUCAUACUCACAACAGGAUUAGGUGGCCUGAACUGGUGGCCAGGAGUGUUGCGGGACAAGACCCAAACUUCCUAGAAAAAACUGGCUCAUCGGAUGCAUUCACCCCUUCCCCAAGCCUCUUUCUGAUGGGUAACCAUCUGCAGGAGGGGGCACUCAGAUCACCUCUAAGGCUUGGUUUGCCACCUGCACCAACUCUCAGGGCAAAGGGCACCCGUUCUUAAAGGUCUGCUUGAAGAACCUCUCCAUGGCAGAGGCCGGGCUCUCUAGUGGAAAAUCCACUGGAGCAUUGUUUCUAGCCCUAAUCAAGGUCAGAGGCGGCCACUGGCCACAAGGACACACCCCACAGCAGUGUGAGCAGAGGUAGCCUUGCAGCAGUACUAUAAGGGACGCACAAGCCACCUUCCCUCCCCUCACCCAAAAUGCAUUUGAUGGCCUCUCCUUUCUGUAGACUGCCCCUCUUGUUUUGCUUUUAAAUCCAUCUCUUUAUGACACUCUGCUGUAUCAAAUCUUUUAUUUUGGGGACAGUAGGAGAGCUUCAGAACACUAACAGGAAGUAGGUGAAUGGAUUUGAAUACCAAAAAGAGAGGCAAAAUUGAAGAGGGUGGUCGGGAUUAGGCAGGGAACAAUGCCAUUUCACCCAGAGGAUGCUGGCUCUUGCCAGCUGGGCCACCAGGAGCUAGCUGAGGGUGGUGUUUCAAGGCCCAAGACCCUUACACAACCCACGGUGGGAUGGAACUCAGGGGCAUCAGCCUCUCCUCUGUGGCCUCUUCCCAUUUGUCCACAUGAGUGUCCACCAUGUUUAGCCUCUUACAGGUCUACACAGCAGCACCAUACACCUUUACUUACAAUCCUGUUUUUUCUGGUCCUCCUUGAUCUUGAGAAGACUCUGUUUGACCUGACUGUGAAAGACAGGAAAGAAGGGUGGGAAGGAGGAGGAAUCUCGUACCCUUAGGCAUGAUCAUCUCUCUUUUUUCUUUAUGUGGUGAGGCUGAAGCUGAUCUCUGCUUGGUCCAAGAUAUUAAUGGGGUCCUAGGCCUACUGAUGACAUUUAAGCCCCAUCUUAAGCCCCUCUGGAAGAAAAGAACAGUAAAUGAGCCAGAGUUAGAGGGGUCAAAUACAGUACCUACUAUGUGCCAGGCCCAUUAGGUGUGUUACCACUCUUAAUUUCUACUACCACACCAUGAAGUAGUUUAUUCUCACGCUCAUCACAGACACAGACACUGAGAAUGGUGUCCUGUGCUGGGUGCUACCUUUUAAAAGGGACAUUAACAUGGAGUGUACCUAGGCUCUGUGUUAAUUGUCCCCGAGAAUAGAGAGCUCUGGAAACAGAACAGGCAGUGAGAGCGUGCAGGCAAAGGUGGGGCCUUCUGUCAGCAUAACUGCGGGGUGGAAUUCUCACCAUGAGAUGGGAGCUGGCCCAGAAGACCUUUAACGGCCAUUUUCCAAAUCUAACACUGAAGGAUUCUGGGUCUCAAUGGCUUGCUUACCUUCUGUGUUUGAAUCCAGAUGUAUCGGGCCUUCUGGGGUGGCUGUGGACUUUGUUAGGCAGGGAGAGCUGGAAGGAGCUACAGAGAUCAGCCGGGGCACCUUGCUGGGCCCCAGGUGGGCAACAAUGGUUAAAGGAGUUGUCCAAGGCCAUGGGGGCAAUUCAUAGAGUUAAUAUGUGUUGAAGAACUGGAUGGAAGAAACAGGCCCAGGCACUACUCAGCCAUCCCUGUGCUCAUCCAUUAUUCUCACCUGACCCUUUUCCAUCAAGAUGAUCAUUCAGCCACCGUUAGCUGAGCACCUGCUGUAUACCAAAUGUGGCUCCAGAGAUUAUUUUGUGUGCUCCUUUCCUAACUCCAUCAGGUGGGUCCCAUUGUCCCCAUUCCUCAGAUAACAACAGUUAUGUAACCACCCCAAGGUUAAGGUACUUAGAGAGAUGUCGCAAGCACUAAGUGAUGAAGCAGGUCCCACUAACCCCUAGGAUAUCUUGCAUCUCCAUCUGCUGCUUCCCAGCUCGCAGGAUAGGCAUUUUCCUUUCUUGUCCUUCUCCUAAGACACUGGCUUUGACUUGUCUGGUUCCACUGAGAUUAUUUCAAGCCCCUCCAGGACUUUUAUCCUGUCUGACGCUGGACUCCCCAUGGGCCUGCCUGGUUCAUUGCCCAGGCCUCUCAUUUUGAUGGGACAAGACAGAGCGAUUGUUUCCACACCAACAGAUGUUAUGAGCCUAGCAAGAAAAUAUGCUAAUCAAAAUCAGCUUCGGCUAAUUGUGGCAAUUUCCCUUCUGCAUGUUGCCCUGAAAUAGUAGCCAUGCUCUGUUCUUUUUUUUCACAUCAGGAAGCCCCACAGUGGCAGCUCAAAUGAGGUUGCAGAGAAGUCAGUUAAACAGACCUCUUCGUUGCUGGUUAGGCAGGUAAGGCCUUCGUCAUACUCUUAUAAGUAAGACCUGGGUUGGACCCUGGACUUGGCCUCUUUCUUACUGUGGAUAAUCUGAACCCACUCUUAGGCUGGAAGAAUUUCAUUUAACCCUCAGGGAAACUGGAACCUCAAGAAAUUUUAAAAGUGUCAAGCCCAUGGGCAUAUGGUUUGACCUUGAACUCUGAUCCAGGUCAAAACUUCUUAUUUUUCCUUUAAGCCAGUUCUGGCCAAUAGAACUUGCUACAAUCAGGGGAAUAUACUCUAUCUGCCCUGACCAAUAUGGGAGCCCUGUCCAAUAUGAUAGCUACUAGCCACUUGUGGCUAUUGAACAUUUGAAAUGUGGCUAAUGAGACCAAGGAGCUGUGUUUUUAUCUAUUUAAAUAAGUUAAUGAAUUAAUUUUGCAGUUCUGGAGAUUAAACUCAGGGGUACUCUAUCACUGAGCUAUAUUUCCCAACCCUUUUUAUUUUUUUUUUUAUUUUGAGACAGGAUCUCACUAAGUUGUCCAGGCUGGCCUUGAACACAAUCCUCCUUCCCUAGCCUCAAACUAAUUUAUUUUGUUUUGGGGGGAGGGGUGGCAGGUACCAGGCAUGGAACUCAGGGGCAGUCAACUACUGAGCCACAUCCUCAGCCCUAUUUUAUAUUUUAUUUAGAGACAGGGUCUUACUGAGUUGUUUUGCUGUUGCUGAGGCUGACUUUGAAGUCUCAAUCCUCCUGCCUCUACCUCCUGAACCGCUGGGAUUACAAGUGUGCCCCACUGCACCCGGCUCUAACUAAAUUUUAACUUAGAUUCUAUAGCCAUGUGUGGUGGGGGCUGCCAGAUUGGACUUACACCUCUAGCUCCUGCUGGCUUUUGUGACUGUAUCUCUUAUCUCAUCCCCCCUCCCCCAGCUUUCCUUUGUCUCUCACUCACCUCCCAGAGCUUCUGUACUUUGUGGUUUUUACAUUUUCUGGUCCCUUUGCUGCCACUGCUUUUCCUUCUUAGCCGUUUACAAUUUGCCUUUGUUCAGCAUGAGGGCCUCCGUUCAAGUGUGUCUCCUUGGAGAGAAUUUCCCUAUUUUACCUAAUAUCCUCCCCACCCCCACUCCAAUUUUUCCUUAUCUCUCUGAAACCGUCAUGUUUAUGUGUUGUCUUUUGCCAUCUCCCUGGACAAGAAUGUCAGUUCCACCCAGAAUAAGGAUGCUGUCUUUUCCACCCCUCCAACCCCAUGCCCAGAACAGCACCUGGCCGAGGAAAAUGCUCAGCACUGUGCCCAGAGCAUGUGAACACCCUGCAGGUGGCCACUCCUCAGCCACCUCCUUUAGUAAAGAGGAUUCACUGUCUCCGUCACCUUUUGCUAGAUCAAAAAAUAACAACCCAGCCGCUUAAACAGCAAAGAUUACUUAUUUCUCCUGAUUCUCUGGCUCAAAAACUUGGACAGGGCUCACCUCCAUGUGAUACCAGGAAAGGUCGCUCAUUCAGCUGCAUUCAGCUGUGGACAGGGUUGGACUAGGCUUUAUUCACAUGCCUGGGACUCUGGGGCCUUCCAAGUAACAUUUCCAUGCAGUUGGUAGCAUGAGGGUCUCAGGGUAGUCUGACUCUUUAUACAAAGCUGAGUUUUGAGAGAAGAAAUCAGAAGGGGCCAGGCCCUGAACUCAAAGCCCCAUUUCCAUCCCAUCUAUUGGUCUAACCAAGUGAUGGUGUGAGCCAGGAUGAAAGGAGAGGUGAAGUGGUCCACCUCUUGAUGAAUGGGGCAGUACGUACGUUCAAGGAGGAAGGAAUCCUUGGUGGUCACCUUUGAAUGAUUCCAUGGUUCCUAUAAAUUAUCCCAUAUGGUGCUUCUCAAACUUGAAUGUACUCAUAGACCACCAGAGUCUGAUUAAAUGCAAAUCUAGGGCCAUGCCUGAGAUUCUCCUCCCAAGAACUCUCAGAUAAGGCCAGGACUGCAGGUCCACGGACCACACUUGGAGAAGCAAGGUCAUAUUAGAAUACAGCCCGUCAGGGUUGACUGUACACUUAGGUUUAGCAUUGCAGGGUCCCCCAGUUCCACCCCUGGUCCAUCAUUCUACUGGGGUAAGCACUGCCUGCACCUGCUGGGGCCCAUGUGAUCAGUCAGUCCUCUCUGGCAGCUGGGUUUGUGCCCACACUCUGUCAUGAGGAUCCUAUUCCGCCUCCCAAACACUUGCCGUACUUUCCUUCUUUAACAUUUGAUUCUCUCCAUGCCCCUUGUAAAAUUGGUGGAGUGGGGUUUUCAUUUACAGCAUUAGAAAGCCAAACACAAACUGCAGAUGGUCCCCAAUGGACAAGAGUUCCACUUAAUGAUUUUUCGAUCUUAACGUUGGCAUGAAAGUCAUAGGCAUUCAAUAGAAAGUUUGAAUUUUGGUCCCAUUCCAGCCUAGUGGUUGUGAGGCCAAUUCUCUUUAGUGAUGCCAAGUAGCAGCAAUGAGCCCCUGCUGCCCAUGCAACCACAAGAGUUAACAACAGAUACUCUACAGUGGACUGCACUCAGUGCAAUACAUGAGAUGUUCAAAACUUUAUUACAAAAUAGGCUUUGUUUUAGAUUGUUUUGCCCAAUUCUAGGCUAAUGUGUUCUGAGCAUGUGUAAGGCAAACAAGGCUGAGCUACGAUGUUCAGUAGGUUAGGUGUACUAAAUGCAUUUUUUUUACUUAAAAUAUUUUCACCUUCAGUGGUUCUAUGUGGAUAUAAUCCCAUCAUAAGUCAAGGAAUAUCUAUGAUUUCAAGAAAUGGAAUUGAUUGGGGUGUGUUAUGGCUUUAGGACUGGUUAUAUCCAGGACCCCAUGUGAUGUUCUCAAGAAGCUGCUUGUCACCAUCUUUGGUACUGCAUUCCCCUAAGAUCUCUCUGGCAGGAUCUCUCCAAGAUGGAAGAAAAAAUGACAUCCUUCCCCAUCACACACUGACUUAGCAACCCCAGCAACCCCAUUUCUUUCCCAAUCUUUCCAACAAAACUGCCAGGGUUCUGCUGUCAUAUAUAACAGAUUAGAAUAAAUUUUAAAAAAAAAAGUGCCAGGGUUCUCUCUGAUUGGCCUAUCUGGAGUUACAUGUUCACAAAGAAGCAGUCACAGCAGGGAAGAGGAUGUGUUACCUUAUGGCCAGGCCUGGGUCAUGUGAUGAGGCCAGCCCCACCUGAGCCAUGUAGAAUAAAAACACAUGAUUAUUUCAUUGAAAAAGGAAGAGCUAAUGGGAAGUCAAAAAAUCGCCCAGCUAGCCACGAGAGCAGGUGUCCAUGUUCUCUUGUGAUGGCUGAGAAACAGAAGACUGGGGUCUUACAAAUCCCAGAAGGCCGGCAGAGGGGUUGGAAGGGAAGGGAGGGGGCAUGGGGUUAUAAAUGAUGGUGGAAUGUGAUGAUCAUUAUUAUCCAAAGUACAUGUAUGAAGACACGAAUUGGUGUGAAUAUACUGUGUAUACAACCAGAGGUAUGAACAAUUGUGCUCUGUGUGUAUAAUAAGAUUUGUAAUGCAUUCCACUGUCAUAUAUAAAUAAAUAAAUAAAUCCCAGAAGGCCCACAGCUAACCGGGUAUCCCAAAUCCCAGCACAGACUCAAAGGGGCCAUCAAUUAAAAAGAACCUACACACCAGAAGAAACCUAAAAAUCAGCCAAGGAAUGUUCCAUUGAACACUUGUUCAAGGGAUGUUAGUUGAUGUUACCUAAAAUGCUGUGUGGUCAAGGGAGGUGACAAUGGAUUAGACCAAAUCAAAAGGUUCCUUGCUAUGCAGGACUUAUCAGAGCCUUAAAUCAGCUGCUGGUAGACUGUGAAUUCCCAGGAGCUGGGGAAAGAUUAGGGGCCAUUGUUUGGACAAUUAUUAAUCUAACUCUGCUGUGUUGGAAAAACAAACUGCCUAUUCUUUCUCUGUUCUUAUGCCAUAAUCAGCAUAAAAGACCUCUGUGACCACAAAAGAGGUGGGGAUUUCUCCCCUCCAGCCAAUAAACAAUUCUGUAAUAGUAGGCACCAGUCAGGUGAGCUCCAAUUCAAUUUAAUUCUGACAGUAUUUACCUAGAGAAGUAUCUGAUCCCACUGGUUGAGGGCUUCAUUCCAAGACUGCCCCCCUAAGUUUAGAUGCCAGUUUUGAGCCCCGGGUUACUUUACCUGUGCUUCUGAGCCCCUGGUUAAACUUAGGGCUCCCAUGAUCCCAUGCUUAGGUUCAAUUAAUUUGCUGGAGGGGCUCAUAGAGUUCAGGAAACACUCAUCUUACUACCUUACAGGUUUAUUAUAAAGGAUAUCACAAAGGAUCUAGGUUAAAGGGUUCUUAGGGUGAGGAAUAGGAGAAGGGCGCUGGGGGCUUGCAUGCCCCCUCCAGGUGUGCCACCCUGCAGUGACCUCCACGUGUCCAGCUAUCUGGAAGCUCUCCAAACCCUGUCCCUUUGGGUUUUUGUACAGGCUUCAUUGCACAAGCAGGACUGAAGUAUGAACGAUCGUGUAUCAAUGUGAUAAGACAAAAAGUGUCCCCUCUGUGUUAAUCAGCUUUGUGUCACUGUGAUCAAAAUUCUUGACAAGAAUAACUUACAACAACAUGGACUUUUGGUUCAUGGUUUCAGGGAUUGAGUCCAUGAUAGGCCAAGUCCACUGAGCUGGGCCCAAGGUGAGGUCGCACACUGUGGUGGAGGAGGACUGCUCUGGUCUUGGCAGCCUGGAAGAGAGAGAGGGAGGGGAGGGGCCAUAGGGAAGAUGAGCCCUUCCAGGGCACAUCCCCCAGCGACCCACCUCCUCCAGCCACGCCCUGCCUACCUACAGUCACCACCCAGUCAGUCCAUUCAAACUAGGAUGGACUGAUUAGGUCACACCUUCCAUAAUCUAAUCAUUUCACCUCUGAAUAUGACUGUACUAACACAGCAGUUAUUUUCAGGACACCUCAUAUCCAAACCCAAACAGAUCCAGUGCUAAUAGAUGGAGAAACCCAGCAAAGCCUGUCGAUUCAGAUUCUUUCUGGCCUAUCUAUACAGCAUUCCUUCCUCCAGGGUAUGGGGCAGGAAUUAUCUUGAAUGAGGAAGGUCCUGUGACCUGCUAUCAGACGAGGUAACUCAGCAAAUUUCUUUAUGGCCAGGUAAAGACGGGGGAAGAUCUGUGCAGGAGCAAGACCUAAAAUAGCAUGUCUGCUGUGCCCAUCUGAUAGAUGCAGAAACUAAGGCCAAGAAAGUGUCAAUGACCACGUAGCUUGUUAGUGCUGGCUCAUCCCUAGCUGCUGUGCUGGUGACGUGCUCUGUGCUGGUGACGCGCUCUGUGCUAUGUUUUCCUUAUACGUCACGGCAGCCCUGCCCUCCGUGGUGUUCUUUCUGCGUCUCUGUUUUGCUUUCUUGCACAGGUCCCUGUGAAACAGCUUACACGAUGCCAUGAGGGGCCAUGGGCACCCAGAUGCCCCUGUCCUGUCUGGGAUGUACCCUUCACGGCUUUAGGCCUGAGGGAGCUACCAAAAAGCUCAGAAGGCCCCAUGCAUGCGUCUGGUCUUAGGAAAACGUGGCCACCCAACCCGCAAGAUGACGGCAUUGAUAAAGUUGAAGAGGCUCAAUGCUUGGCUGAACCUGCAAGAAUCAGUGCCAGACACGGGGUGCCAGGCAGGAGGGGCCAGAGGGAAGGUAAUAUUCCCAGAGCCAAGCACACACACUUUGAGCCCAGGGAGAGAUUGUGUGUCAGGGCAGUGGUUUGCUACAACACCGUCAUUUUGAGAACCUCCUUAGUCUGGGCACCUCAUGGGGCCACUCAGUCAUCUGGCACAGACAUUUUCAUGACCCACAUAAGUAGGAAAGAAAAGCAGACAUCGGCUAGUUGGCUGAACUCACGGUUAGCAUUUGCUAAAGACUGGGAAAUCGAGCUCUGGCCCUUCUCCUGGCCAAGUACACAAUCAAACUCUCCAGGCCUCUAUUUUCUCAUCUGGCAAAUGGGGCUAGAAUGAAUUCCUGCCUCAUGCACUGUAAUGAGGAUUAAAUAAGAUAUUAUCUGUGAAACAGUAACAUGCCUGGCCCAUCUAGCAUAAGGGCUCCAUAAAUGGUGGUAGGAAUGGACAGGUGGGAUCAGGUCCAGGUGUCCAGCUAGUAAGGGGCAAAGGCAAGAUCAACACAUGUCCAGCUGUGCCUCAGCUCGGCUCCUCCUGCCCCUACAUCACCCACCACUCAGAGAAGAAGGCAGCAAACAGUAAGUAGAUGGAGAUGGCUCAGAGGACAGAGCAGAGCAAAGGGCUUUCUCUAGUCUUCUCUACAAAGGAGGACAGGUGGCCUGUGUGUCUCUUUGGUCACUUCCAGAUGACUGUAUCCAAAAUCCAUCCAGAGAAGUAACCACCAUGAGCAGUGUUAGGUGUGCAUGCCUCCCCCUCUGGGGCAAAGCCAGGCUGGAUAUAACUUGGGUGGAUAUCCAGAUGCCACUAGAACCCACAGGUCACCAGAGGGAAGAUCCUGGAGACCACACCUGGCACUUUCAGCUGGGUUGGCAUGCUUGGAAAUUCAGCCUCCACCAGGGCAUGCUUUGGAGAUGAGAAUCCCAGCAGAAAUUUAAGGGGAAAUGAGUGGAAGGUGGAGGCGGAGGUGGUAGUCACCCGUUUGUAGAUGAUUUUCCUGGAGAAGGUCAGAACACGUCCCCAGGUUGAACCACAUUCAGGGUUGAGAACCAGUCAACUCAAGAUGAAGUUUUCUUAAGAGUAGGAACUUGACUGCGGAGGCUCCUAACCCAAUGUUCCUGGUCCACAAUAUCCACACAAAUGCACGUGUGAUGUCAAACUAUGUAAUAUAUGUAAAUGGGCAUUUUUCUAGAAGGAAAGUCUAUAGCAAGAGAGGCACUCUGGUGGCAUGGCUUUGUUUUGUUGGUUCUACAGAGUAUUACAAAUAGGAGAAUUAUGGCCCAAGGUUUUAAAAUCGAGAAUCUGGACAUGAAAAUCUCAAUGUGGAACUUCUGAAAAGAACUCACAGAUUUGGUCCCUGGGACCUACAUGCUGGAGAGAGGGCUGCCUCCUAUAGUUGGGGCAUCGACCCCACCCAGACAUAGUCCACACCCCUUUUGUGGCCUCCCUAACAGCUGCCCAAUGUCAGUCCUCGUAUAUCAAGGCCCUGUGCUGCUUUUCCUCACUGACUUAUUCUCUUCAUUUACUUGCUCCCUCUGACUUUUGCAUUUGUAAGCCCUGAUCUGAGCUUUUAAGAGAUGUUUGAGAGGCACCUGAUUUCAAAAAGGUCGAUGUAACUAAGACCUCUUCCAGCUUAAACUUCCUGACAUGGGCUGGAAGUGUAGCUCAGUGAUAGAGCACUUGCUUUGCAUACAUGAAGCCCUUGGUUUGAGUCCUGAUGCCAAGAAUAAAGAAAUAAACCCCCAAACCAAAAACUUCCUGAUAACCCAGUGGAGACUAACCCUCAGAAGGAGCAGAACACCCCUCUGAAUGAUGUUUAUGCCUUUUGUCCAAAAGUAUAUUUGUGAUAGGGCAAGCUUGUCUUUUGACACAUACAAAACACCAAAAGGUUUCUAGAAAUCACCAAAGUUCCUUCCUAUAAUCUCUGCUAGAGACUUCUCAGAUGACAAUGCUAUAAGUGAAAGCAAUGUCAAUCUUUUGGAAACCCUUUCUUUAUGGCCUUGAGAACUUGGCUUUGAAUGCAAACAAAUCAAAAAGAGUUUUCGUGCUGAGGUCCUCUUUCUGAAGCCCAAGCCAACCCACUGUGUGUGUGUGUGUGUGUGUGUGUGUGUUUAUAUGGUCUUAAGUAGGUCUUUGCAUGGGGGAAGAUCAGGCAAGUCACUCAGAGCCAGUUUCUGAACUGAGACUCACAAAUGCACAUACCCUCUCAGCCAGAGACCCUAGGACCCAGAGGGCUGCCUUGGUCCUUAGAAGGUAUCAGUGCUGUUGUGCUGGGCAGGCACACAAAAAUCUGAGAGCAGAGGAAUAAAGGAAAAAGAAGCUUGGGCAAGACAUUCUGUCUGGCAAAGAACAAAAGAAAAAAAUAGCAUGUGAACCUUAAAUAUCUUACGGAUGGAACUGAUGUGAUUUUAAGACAACACGCAGUUCCACAGUUCCACCUGUAUCCCAAGGCAUCCCCUGGCUGGCCAACAGACAACUGCUGCAGCCCCUGUUUCUAUUUGCACCCAAAGAGAAUUCAGUCCAGAGAUACAAGGAGGGGGAGUGAUGGCCCAGGAAUCCAAUGGAAGUCUCUAAUGACUCUGGGGUGAGAACACAGUUAUUAGCCUGAGGCACUCUCAGUGUGAGGCUUGGCAGCCCGUCUGGUCAGUGAAUGUAUCUUGUCUGUGAAAUGGGGAUAAUAAUAGAAACUGCCUGAUCACAUGGAUGAGCAGAUUAAGUGAGAUGAUCCCUGGGAAGAGCUUAGUAAGGUGCUGUAGGAAGCCAGGAGAAGCAUUAGCUGCUCUUUUAGGUUGGGCUUCCCAACCCUGAGAAUCUAAGUGCAGGAAUAGGCUGUCCUGGUGGUUUGACUCCAUUAUUUUUCAACUUUUUAACAGUAUGAAAGUGGUGCACAUUCAGUAGAAACUUUACUAUGAUGUUUGGUAGAUUAAAUGCAUUAAGUGCAUUUUCAGCCUAUAGUGGGUUUGGGGGGAUAUAACCCAUCAUAAGCCAAGAAGCAUCUGUAGUUGAUUUGGGAAGGGACCCAUGUCACACAAAGAGGGGGAAGUAAGGGAUUGAGACAGGGUAGAGAAGGUAGUCACAGCAGGAGGUUACCACCAUGAGCAAAUGAGGCUUGUUUCCAUUGGGUGUGGGACAUGCCCCAGAACUGUCCCACCUGAAGGACCUGGGGCUGAUAUCUAUCUACCUGCUUGCAUCGUGUGCUGGCUGGGGGCUGUCUUCUCUCUUGCUUGUCCCUAGCACUAUAGUCCUGCACAGUCUCAGGGCAGAGCCACAAGUGCUUACAGUGGGAACCGUGAGACCUGAGGGGACAUGGGUAUAGUUACGGACAGCAUCUGUAAAACUGCCCCCUGAUGAUUCCUAUGCUGGAGAGAAAAGAGCUGAACUUUGGAGGCACCCAGACCUGAGCUUAUAUUCAUUGCUGCCUUUUACUAGAUAGGAGUCCCUCUUUGCCCUUCUCUCCAUGCCUCGGUCUCCCUGUCCCUCAAAGUAGGAACAACUCUCUGAGGUUGCCAAAUUGAUUGUGAAGAUUAAGUGUGACAAAGUCCGAAAUGAGACAGGCACAUGGUAGAUGCUCAGCCGAUGUGAGCCUCUUUACUCACCAGUGCAUUUGUUUUGCUUCUCCUCCCUUGCCCAUGGUCAUUCUGUUUCUAUUCCCGGAGUGAGCCCAGGCUGGCACCAGAACCUCUUUCCUGAUGAGCAGGGAUGUACUGACAUCCAAACUAGUGUUUGCCUCUGAGGUGACUUCUGAGUGACAGGUUGUCCUGUUGCAAAGAUCUCUCUAGCUAUGUAUUACCAUUCUGUCUCCCCUUUAGCCUCCAGCUUCCUAGGAUGGGUUUUUUUGAUCCAUAGAAGGGAGGAGUAAGUUUCCAGCCUCUGGGAGUGAAAUCCCAAUAGGAAAAUUUCUGACCCCUGCAGCUCCCCAGAGCAGCCCUGAGUCUGAAGUGCAGGCUGAGUUAGACCGUAUGGGAGAGGGUUGAUCUUGAAAGAAAAACACAAAAUGCCAGUUAAAUUUAAAUUUCAGAUAAACAGUGAAAUACCUUUGUUAGUAUAAGUAUGUCCUAAGGGGUCAUAUAAAAAUGCUAUAUUAAAAUGUUAUUUAGUUACUUAUCUGAAAUUCAAAUUUAACUGAGCAUCUUGUAUUUGCUAAAUCUGGCAACCCUAGUUUGAAGGGAACCAGAAACCAACCUUCUGGAAGGUUUGGGAUUAGAGAUCAGCAAAACUACUGCCCACUCAGCCCUUCAGGCCACAGAGAGUGCAGAAUGGCCACCUGCCCCCAGAUGGUCUCUCCUGGGCCCUUACUCCGGGGUCUUGUAAACCCCUCAUUAGAGUCACUUUUGUCUUAUGACAUUGUUAAAUUAAUGUAGUGGAGUCACAGUUUCACUCUCACCACACUUACAGGUGCAAAGAAAAUAUUCUUUAUUUUUAGGCAUCACCACUGAAAAGGGUACAGGGGCACACAGACUAGUUGGCUAAACAUUUGUGUCUCCAGCUGCAGAAAUAGAGCUGCAGACCAGGAUUCAGGUGCACACGGCUUAGGGAGGGAAGCAGGAGGGGGCAGGGAGUGAGCUGAGCAGUGUCAGGUGGAAUCAGCUUCUGCCUGAUCCCAUGGGGGCACUCUGAAGUAGGAAUAGUGCCAGAGUUAGCCUCACCUUGUGACAAGCGGACUGAGCUCUUGUGCUUCCGUGUCUGUAGGCCAUUAGCUGCCCUCAGCCAGGAGGCUGGGCCUCCCAACCUCCCAGGUGUCUCCAGGUGUGGCAGCUUCCAUUUCCGUUUCCAAGGCAAUGCUCCUCUGCAGUGAGAUUAACUGCAGCACCUGCAGCAGCUGGGGAUGGGUGCACCUGCUGGGCAGGUGGACCUGGGCAUAGUGCCUGCGGUACCCAUGAUACUGUCUCUUCAGGUUCAGGCUGAAGAGACAUGCGGUAUAAAUAUGUUGUUAGCUUCUGUUCAGGAUGCCUUGCAGAGUGUCUGUUGGGAGAUGAGGUCUCCUUAGGGACAGCUCUGCCCCUCUUCAUUCCUCCUUAAGGAGUGAUAUGACUGUCAGGGUGUGGGUGGGGACAGCUCUUACUGUGCCUUGGUAGUGGUAGAGAGAGGAGACUUUGAAUACCAGUGGAGUCUGCAGGACGAUGGCCUGAUCCUUGUGGUCCUGUCACUGCUCUCUGGUCUGGGGCACCCAGCCCUUCCUGGUCUGUUGUGCCCAGCCCCUCCUGGUCUGUUAGGGAUAUCUUGAUCCUCACUGCUGGCUGCAGCCUGUGGCCUGAGGGGCGGUAAGGGUCCCAAUUAUGGGACCUCUUCAUCCUGAGUCCAGGCUUUGGCUUACCCAUCAGUCCUUAAAGAAUCUUCUGCCCCAUCUUGCCCUGGAUACAUGAAUUGCUGCACAAUUUCAAGGACAUCUCCUUGGGCUUCAUCCACCCAGCCACUGUUCACUGAUGAGCCUCUUCCCCAAACACUUUAGAAGUGGCCCUGCUCUUGACAUCUCCUCCUGAGCCCAGGGAUACAGGCCAAGUCUCCCAGGCAUGGUUCCUGUGCCUCACCAACAUUCCAGAACCUCCCCUCUGCAACCUACCAUGUCUGCCUUCACCUGCCACUUCCAGAUUUGUGUCCCAGAGAGGUUCACAAGCCCCCUGCUGCCGUUACCUGCUUCCCACAUAUUCAUCCUUUCUCCUUCACCUUCCCCGAGAGGGUGGUAUUUAAAAGGGGCGGGCUUUCCCUUUAUUUCUAGAGUUCAUGAGGCAGGAAAAUUAGACCUUCCGAGGAGUCUCCUUUUCCUUCCCAGGAUGACACUGCUUUCCCCUUCUCUUUGGGACUGUCAUGAUAAAGCGGGGAGGAACCAAAAUGCUCUACUCACAAGGAGCUGUAAAUUAAGAGGUUUAAAAAUGUAUCUAUUAUCGUACACCGUGUUCAUUGCAUCAUUAUUCACGGUAGCCACAUCCAAGGGUCCAGGAUGGAUAAGCAAAAUGUUACCUGCCCUCCACAUCUCUGGGUUCUUUACCCCAAGAUUCAAAAAUAUAUUUUUUAAAUUCAUUGAAUCCCACUAUUAUGUAUAAUUAUAAGGCACCAAUAAAAAUAAAGUAUGAACAAAAGAUUUUAAAAUUAAUCUAUACUGAGCAUGCACAGAUUUUUAUCCUUGUCAAUAUUCCCUAAACAAUAUAGCAUGGCAACUAUUUACACAAUAUUGAUAUUAUAUUAGGUACUAAAAGCAAUGUAGAGAUGAUUUAAAUAUACAGGGGACUUGGGCAUUCAUGGAUUUUGGUAUCCAUGAUAGUGGUCCUAGAACUGACAGAUAGACAACUCUCUGUGUGUGUGUGUGUGUGUAGACACACAACACUAGAAUAUUAUUCAGCCUUAAAAAGGAAAGAAAUUGGCCUGGUGAUAUACAUCUAGCAAAUGUGAGACCCUGGGUUCAAUUCCAGAAAAAAAAAAGCGGGGGGGGGAGAGAGAUCUGUCAUAUGUUAUAUAGCAUGGGUGAACCUUGGGGACUUUACACUAAGUGAACUAAGCUAAUCAAAAAAAGGUAAAUACUGUGUACUUACACAUAGGAGGUACUCAAAAUAAGCAGAUACAGGGACACAGAAUGUGUUAGAGGCUAGGGGAAGGGGAAGAAGGGAGUUGUUUACUGGGUAUGAAAAAAUUCUGGAGAUUGGUAUACAAUGUGAGUAUAAUUAACACUACUGAACUUAAAAAUGGUCAUAAUGAUAAAUUUUAUGUUGCACAUAUUACCACAGUUUGAAAAAUGAAAAAUAAAUAGUAAAGAAAAACAUAUCUGCUACAAAUUCUGAUGUCUUGUCCAUAGAGGAUAAAACCAUGCAUUUAUCCACUCUUUACAUGACUUCUUAGAUUAGUUCCUGAUCAUUUGCAGAGAACAGGACCCAUAGGAGAGAGAGAAUAUUUUCCUGAAGAAAAGAUGCAACCAGAAAUAGUCCCAGCUAGAACCACUCUCCAGACAUAGGACAUCCAACUAAAUGGGUCUUUUCAGAAAAAGGACAAUUUCAGACAUGUGUUGCUUAAGGAUGGGAGCACUUUCUGAGAAGUGCUCUGUUAGGACAUUUCAUGAUUGUGUUGAAUGUCCUAGAUUGUGCUUGCACUCACCUAGAUGGCCUAUGUCAAUCACAUGAUGUGGCUCUCGAUGCAAUCAAGAGAUGGAAUAAAAGAGAUAUUUUUAGUUGCUGUGGGCAUAGCAGUGUAUGUUAGCUUUACAUUUCUACAACAAAAUGCCCGAGGCAGCCCACUUUAUAAGAGAAGUGGUUUAGUUAGUUCACAGUUUCAAAGACUGAAGGUCCAAACAGCAUGGCACAGGCUCUAGCUCUGGCUCUGGCAUGGGGCCCAUGACUGAUGGAAGAGGGAGGAGCACAUGCAGAGGAAGGAUCACAUGGAGAUUCAGAAAGCAGGGAGAACUAGGUGAAGCUAAACUCAAGACUUUGAUAACAACCCUCUCUUGAAAACUGCCAAAGAUCCUGUAAGAAGUACCUUUUGAGGAAAAACCUCCCAACUUGCCCUCUCCUAACAAUGCCAUCUUGAGACCCAAGUCAUCAAUCACAGCAGACCCUGGGGGGACACUCAAACCACACCCAAACCAUAGCACCACAUACAAUAUGAUUUUACAGCAAACUUUUUUAAAAGUAAAAAUAUACUCUAAAAUAUAAUGAAAAGCAUAGUAUGGUAAAUACAUAAACCAGUAACAGUGGUAUAUAAUCAUUAUCAAGGAUUAUGUACUAUACAUAAUUGUAUGUGAUAUACUUUUCUAUGACUGGCAGCACCACAGGGUCACCACAAACACAUGAGUAAUGCAUUGCUCUAUGACAAUAUGACAGCUGGGAUGACACUACUAGGUGAUAGGAAUUAUUCUGCUCCAUUGUAACUUUACAAUUAGACCAGUCAUAUAUACUGUCCAUCAUUGACCAAAACAGCCUUAUGCAGUGUGCAUAACUGUAUAGCUGAUAUUUUGAAAGGGGGCUGGGAAACUUAGAAUUAUGGGACAAGAGUAAGUGAGGUAUGCACAGUUUGGAGGACAAGUAACCCCUUUUUCAUUACAAGUUGUCUGGUACAGGUUAUCAGGCUCAGUGAUCUUGGUAUAAGUCCAUGAAAACUUUCUCAAAAAUGCUGGGGAGAGAAGUUUUAAGGAGUUCAGAUUCUUUUCUCUUUAAUUCUAGAAAAGUAAAAGGUACCUAUUCUGCGCAUCCCAGACAUUCCCAGUGGAGUCUGGCUCAACACCCAGUAAACAAACCCAUUAAUAUUCCUGCGGUGAAAUGUAUAAAUAUUCACACUAAAUGGGAUAAUAAAGACUAUAAAUAGUCUUAUGUCAGUGCAGGCCAGGUUUGGCUGCUCAAUAAGUACCCCUUGCCAAAAGAAAAACAAAAGCAAAAAUCUUCUGGGUUUUAGAGCUUUUUGGAUAUUAAAAUGGUAGAAUAGGGAUUGUGUGCUUAUAUGAAUUUGGUGCCAUCUACAAACUGUAAACUAAUAAAGAGACAAAACGUUGGAAGGAACAAGGAGGAUGAGUUCUGAUAUAUCCAGCACUCUGAUUUUAUAAAUAUGAAACAGAGGUGGCUGUCUCAAGGUCCCUGAGCUGGUCAUGGGCAGAGCUGAGAUCAGACUUGGGUCUCCUAUCCCAACCCAACCACCAGGUCAGGAAUCAGCAGUGACAUUCAGAUCCAGUUUGCCUUAAAGGAGAGUUGGAGUCCAUGAACGUGGCCCACGCUCUCCUUCCUGGUUUCCUGAAGAGGUGAACUCCUGCCUCUGGAAUGUCUUUUGUGUAGCUGGUUUUGGUAUAUCCUAUGAUGGACUGCUCAAAUAUUCUCUGGUAGAGGAAUCUGCAGAAGGCCCUUUCUACUGACUCAUAGACUUAACUCCAGGCCUUGCCUAUAGACAAAUCUCAGUGAAGUUCUGGGGACCACUGCAUUUAUUUGGUUAUCACUUAACAAUCAAAAGAAAGAUCUAGAAUGAAAGGAUUAUGUGCAAGCCAACCAAGAACAGAGGAAUAAGAUCUUGUUUUCCAUUGUAGAAACAGAACAAAGGGUGGGGAAGGGAAAUGUUACCUUUAUUUUUGAAAGAUGAGCACUCAUGGUCAUUGAAAAAUGAUUUCUUCUGUUCCUGAGGUCUAAGCCGUAAGACUGAUCCUAUCCAAGGUCUCUGAUGGAAUAUGGAUGCUUUGUGUCUGGCACAGAGCUCGAGCAUUAAAGUAGGUAAUCCAUAAACCCUUGUUGAAUGAAUGAGUAAAUGAAUGAAUAUGGGGGUUGUCUAUUUAAAGCUCUUCAGUAUAAAUGAUGCGAUUCCAACUUAAACUGAAGCAAGAAAAAAAAUGCCUAUUUUGUUUAUUUUGUCUAAUAUCAUUGAAAACAUCCAAGGAUAGAUGCCUUCAGGCAUGGCUAGAUCAGGCAUGCAAAUUAUUAUGGAUCCCUUUCCUUCUCUCAGAGCUGCUUUCCUCUGUGUUGACUUCCUUCUCAGAUGGGUUCUCCACAGUCAGUUGCCACGAUGGCCAACCACAGGCUCAGAGCCCACAAGCUAAACAAUCCUUAUAAAGAAAGUAACUUAUAUGUCCUGAGAAGGUGAGGCAUAGUCUCAUAUCCAUAGCCCCAGGAUACCAUGGUGAGGACAGUGUACCCUGAAAGGUAGUUUUUGAGUUGACUAUAUGAAGUGGAGUCCUUCCCAAGCUCUUUAGACCCUCAAAGAAAGACAUGUCUCCUAAUGUAGGAAUUCAGCCUUGCAGUGUCUCUUCAGAUCCUUAACAGCUUAAGGGGAAGGUGGCUCCUAGGAGUUGGACCUCAAUGUCAUAGGAACAUUAUGACCCUUCUUUUUGUUGUUGUUCUUGUUUUUUUCUUCUCUGUGCAAGACUGCUUAUUUGAAGGAAGCAACUAUAGCUUUGAAGAAUGAGGACAGAGAUACAGAAAGCCAGGAAGUAGUAUGGACAGGUCACUGGGCAGUAUUCCCUCAGAUCCUAACCAAGUGAGAAGUGUGCCUGUGUCCCUGCUCCAUCCAGGCCCGACUCCAUCAGUUGGACUUCCCAUCUGCAUCACGCUGGAGACCAAGCGCCCACAGACCUCUGCAGGGACAGCCCUGAGAUGUUCUCUUCCUGGCUCCUUUUCCUUUCUUGAUGCUACAAGACUGCCAUAUUUGGUGGGCAUAGGGGUGGAUCCUGAAUGUCCCCAUAAAACUGCUUGGUUUAUGAGAUAUAUUCUUUGUAUCUUUGAGGCUUUGACUAUAUAUAUAAUAUGGCUUUAAAAAAAAGGUGUGACUAUUUUAAGUAUAUUAUUUAGUUAGUUUGGGUUUUUCCUUUUUUCUACUGGGGAUAUAAUGGGCUACAUCCCCAGUACCCCACCCCAACAUUUUUUUUUUUUUUUGAGACAAGGUCUUGCUAAGUUGCUGAGGCUGGCUUCAAACUUGCUAUCCUCCUGCUAUUAAGAUUUUUUUUUAAGAGAGAGAGAAUUUUUUUAAGAUUUAUUUUUUAGUUUUCGAUGGACACAACCUCUUUAUUUUAUUUUUAUGUGGUGCUGAGGAUCGAACCCAGCACCCCGCUCAUGCCAGGCGAGCGUGCUACCACUUGAGCCACAUCCCUAGCCCAAGUUUUAAAAUUAGAAUUAAGAUAGAGAAAAUUGUAGGCUCUGGGCAAAAUAAGCAAAUAUAACUAGAAGGUGAGGGAGGUGUUAAUCCAUGCUAGUUUUUCUAUAUGAUCAUCAUGUGUUGAUAAAUAAAAAGGGAAAUAGGGUGUUUACAAAUUACUUUUUUCAUAAAGGUAGAAAUAUACCAAUUUUGAAAGGUAUACUUUUCCCCUUGGCAUUACAUUUCACAAGAAGUAUACCAUGAAGACUAUUUUAUAGAACAAAAUGUGUAUAGUAGCAUUCUCAACUACCUCACUACAUAUGUAGAUUUCCCCCUCUGUGAUAUUCCUUGCAAUCAUCUUCAAUAAAGGGCAAGGGUAAAACAUGAAGGAAUUAACUUCUCAAUUCUCAUACUAUAUGUGCCCAAAUAUAAAGCAAACAUAAACAUACAAUAAUCCCUCAUUUUCUCAGAGUGAAAAUCCCCCCAAAAUGUUUUUUGGCUGUUUGAAUAUAUAAAUUUUUAGGACUAUAGAUAAAAUAGUCUGACUUUUAAGGAAUUGAUAGAAUGUUCAUACAUAUACUAUUUGAUUUCAUAACUUGAUUACAUGCCUUUCAAAUCACAGAUUGCAGAAAAUAUUUAGAAAUAUUGCACUUUUUCUGUUCACAUUUCAACAAAACAAUAGUAUUCUAAUAAGAGGCACUUUUUGUGGCAUCUUAUACAAUCUCUAGAGAAUAAAAACUUCACUUCUAGCUAAUGGUGGUUGUGGAGAGACGUCAUGAAUUUCUGUAUAAAGCCCCCCACCCCCAACUCCCACUGGAAAUUGUAUCCUAAGCUCCAAAUACUUGUUUGCAUGACAUCUGAGCAGCAUCCUCACCCCCAUUCCAUUUAUCUGAAAUGGGUGUAUUUGUGCUCACCUUCUCAUAAAGACUUAGCAUGGAGCUUUUUUAGAUGACUUUUUAAAAUAUAUUUUUGUUGUUGUAGAUGGACACAAUACCUUUAUUUUAGUUAUUUAUUUUUAUGUGGUGCUGAGGAUCAAACCCAGUGCUUUACACGUGUUAAGCAAGUGUUCUAGCAAUGCACUACAAUCCCUGCCCCUUAAAUGACCUUUAAAGGAUGUCAAACAUUUGUGGUGGAGACCUCAUUGCUUUGGGAAUUGUGAUUAAAUUCCAUUGACUCCUCGAUUCCUUAUCUAAUCAGGUGAUUCUCUAAGCAUCUAAAGCCAGAAUCAAUGGAGGUCAUUUCUAGCCAAAGUAUCCUCCCUAAACAUUUUGUGGUUCAGAAUAAAGUAACUGAGAGAAUACCCCAUUACAUGGGAAUCUUUUACCUGGUGGGCUUAUAUUGUAUCUGCAGUGAUUCUGUCACAUAGUGGCUGAGUGUUCAAUCUGACAAUGCAAACCAACCCUGAAGAUCACCCAGGGAAUACUGCAUGCUUUAGAACAGGGAUACUCCACCCUGGGAACUUUGAUCAGACAUAGUCCUGGAGCAGGAUAAAUUAAGCAAUUAAAUUCUUGGGGCUUGAUUUUCUGAUAGGUGCAAUGAGGAGGUUAGGCUAGAUCCGAGAUGGGCUUUGGGAAAGCACAAGAGGCGAUUGGGAUGGUGACCUCACCUGAUUCCCUAGUCAAUAGAAUAGUUUUCCUCUUUGAUCUGUUUGAUAUAAAUGGAUUCCAAGUAAAAUUCCCUUUGAAAUAAAUAAGUCUUUUUUAAUUACCAAAAAAUGGAAGCAGGUUAUUGAGGUCUGACUGCUUAGAAGUUUUCUGACUUCAAAGCCAUUGGGGGGCGGGGUAAUCAUUAAGUCUUCUUAUUGACAGCUAAUGGGGAUCUUAUGUGCCUUGCAAUUCUGGGGAGCUAGACACAGCCCAGGAGUCGGGGAAUAUAUGCCAUAUGGUGACACAGACCUGCAGAUCCUGCCAUAAAAUCUCACAUAGCUAGAAUUCGAUCAUCCCAGCAAACCUAGCAUCGAAUUUCAUAAGAAAGAGGCAAAUGACAGGGAAGCAUUGAUUCACAAACUGUUCACCAUAUUAGAAAUAACUAAGGGAAUAUUUAAAAAUUCCAAUGUCUAGGUCUUACCACAUGCCAAUCAAAUCAAAGUCUGGAGGAAGGACCCAAGCAUCAGAAAUUUGUGAAUCUUCCCCACGCGACUCUAAUGCGCUGUCAAUUUUAAGCCAAAAUGCAAAACAGUAUGGUGACUCCUCAGAAAAUUAAAAAUAGAAUUACCAUAUGAUGCAGCAAUCCCACUUCUGGCUAAAUAUCCAAACGAAUUGAAAGCAGAGUCUUGAAGAGAUAUUUAUACACCCAUGUUCAUGGCAGCAUUAUUCACAACAGCCAAAAGUUGGGAGCAACCCAAGUGUCUGUUAGCAGAUGAAAAAUAAGCAAAAUAUGGUAUAGACACACAAUGGAAUAUUAUUCAGCCUUAAAAAGGGAAGAGAUUCUGAUACAUGCUACAGUAUGCAUGAACCGUAGGGACGCUGUGCAAAAUGAAAUCAGACAAAGGAUUGAUUUUGUGUGUGUGUGUGUGUGUGUGUGUUGCUGAGGAUUAAACCUGGUGUUUUGCAAAUGUUAGGCAGGUAUUCUAAUACUGAGCUACAUUCCAUCUCCAAAGAAAAAAAAUAUAAGAUUCCAUUUACAUGACAUAUCUAGGGUAGUCAAAUUCAUAGAUAUGGAAAGUAGAAGGGUGGAUUUAAGGGCUGGGGAAGGAAGAGAUGGGAAGAUAGUACUUAAUGGUAUGGAGUUUCCAUUUUGCAAGAUGAAAGAGUUCAUGAGACCAUUUGCACAACGAUGUGAAUGCAUUUAACACUACUAAACUGUGCACCUAAAAAUAGUUAAGAUGGUAAAGUGUAUGUUUUACUAUAAUUAAUAAGUAAUAUAAAAGGAGUAAGUGGUAUCAUGCAGUGACUUGCUAGUCAAGGUAGGAUCACUGGACCUACAAGCAUUUCCACAGAGCUAGAUAGAAAUGCAUCAUAUGAGUCCCGCCUCAGGUCGCUGGGUCAGGACCUUCAUGUUUUAACAAGAACCCCUGAGGAGCUCCCUUCACACACUAAGCUGUGAGAAGCCCUAGUUGUAAUGAACUGAAUAUUAGACCAGAGUUGAGAAGACGUAGCAGACACUGUUAUCCUACCCAGAAUCCGUUUUCCCACUUCCUUCCUUUCAGAAUCCCACAUUCCCUGAGUAGCUUAAAGGGUUGCCCAUUCAGCCCUCCAUGGUGGUCCCACUCCCCUGGGUUAGUGAACUGGGUUAUGCCUGGUCAUAUUACCUGCUUCUGGCCACUGAAACUAAGGAAGAUUCUGGAGAGUUUUUUUCAGGGGGAGGUUGCUUCCCGUUAAGGGCACCCAAGAAGAAAUGGCAUUUCCUUUCCCUUUAGAUAUUUUCAUGUUCAGAUGGGAUCUGAGCAAAUUCUGUCAGUAUCUUGGACCUGGGGAGCAGCUAGCCUCGCCCUUGAUAACACAGAGCCACCGACUCAAAAAAUCCUGGGUCUGUGUCAUCAAAAGAUUUCUAGUUAUGUGAGAUGUACUCACUGUUUAAUAUAAUCUGAGUCUGAAUUUUCUAUUACUUGUGGCCUAAGGUCUUUCAACUUCAACACUAUUGACAUUUAGGGCCAAAUAAUUGUUGAUAGUAGGGUCCGUCCUGUGUGUUGUAAGAAGUCUAGCAGUGACCCUGGACUUUACUCUCUAGAUACCAAUGCCACUUCUCCUUCUCGCAGUUGGGACAACUAAGAAUGUCCACAGACAUUGCCAAAUUCUCCCUGGGGGGCAAACCACCUCCAGUUGAAAACCACUCUUAUAGCUAAAGUCAACUUAAAGAAUGUGAAGAUCUUUUAUUGGGCUCCCUCAAACUUCAGAAGUUAUAAAUUACAGCCCAUCUACCCCAGAGGGGAGGUGUUUGAGGGACCCAAUGAGUCCAGUGUGAGAAAAAUCAAACACACACAGGUGUUACAAAUCAUUACUGGUCUUUGAUGCUGUUGGUGCCUUGAUAACAAUGUUGUAGUUUCUAUUUAGACUUUGAAAGUUUAAAAGGCAUAGAUGUUUAACUUAACAGAUGGCCAACAUGGAUAGUGGGUGGAAUUUUCCCUCAGCAAAAUUGGUGCGGUUGGUAAGACUUCCAGGUAAUUCCUCAUUCAGAAACCCUGGGGUUUAUACCAGCCUGGCCCUGAGUGGGGCUACCAAUCCCAACUGAUCAUCCCAUAAUGCCAUGGAUACUGAGGAGUUUAUCAGUUAAUAUUGGUGUUCAACACGUUUUUGUAUUUAGAAAAUCUGUUUUCUCAGACAAAGCCAGAUUGAUGUCUUCCAAAUAAUAGUUAUAGUUUCCACAUCGGUUUAUUUGACAACCUCCGUAUCAGAAGACCCUGAACAAACUCUCCUGUCUUAUGUUUCCCUUCCUAGACUCCACCACCAGCACAUUCAGACUACUCUUCUUAGGAACCCCUCGACCUCUAGUGCCUUUGGAUCCAUCUUUUCUCGCAGAGCUUAGCUCCAUCAAAAGUGUUCCAAAACGUCUCGUGGAACAACAAGGUUUACCAGAGGAGGUCGACUUGGCAGAAAGGUCUGGAGGAGGAACUAGAGGGGGUGGGGACAGGAGAGGGACAAGUAUGGUGAAAAGGAGGGAGGUUUUGGAUGCAUUUGAUCAUUUAUGCCCAGUGCUUCCCUUAUGCUAAGCGCAAGUAGUAGACACUGGGGCCGGGGCUGGGGCUGGGUGGGAGAAAGGCCAUAAGGAGGCCCUUACAGCCCUUGGAGGGCCUCAGGAUCUCUUAGGAAAUAUGUGGUAGAUGUUGGGCUACCCUUCUAACAUAAUCCCCUCUGCUGGUGUGGGGUAAGCCCUACCCAGUAGCACGGUAACUAUCUCAAUUUUUGUACCACUCUCUUCACCGCUGCAGCCCAUGAACUUUCAGAACCCAGAGGUGGAUCAUGCAUAUCAGAUGAUAAUUUUUGUUUUAGGGGUUGGCAGAUGACAAUUGGGCUGGCAUGACCUAGGACAAUAUGUGGCUUUUAGGGAGAGAGCUCUGUGUUUUCCUUUGAGGGAGGGAUGGGGGAGGGGAGGGGAGGGGAGCAUGGCUUACAAAAGCAAUGGCAGGUCCUGGUUCAUCCUGUUCCAUGAAGGAUUAAAGUUGAGGAUUGAGCUGAUUCACAAGGAAGGUUGAAUGAAGAGAAAUGCAAGGUAAUCAAGUUGGAGCCUUGGUGAAACCCCCUCUGGCCUCCUCUGGACUUAUUUAUUUAUUUUGGUAGUGUGUGCUACUAUAAAAAUCUUCCUCUUGUAUAAGCCCCUUUGAACUGGAUUUUCUGUUACUUGCAUAAUAAGUUGACACAGAAUCUGGUACUAGUUACGUGACAGUGGACAAGCCUCCAAUGUAGGAUUGGUUGCAAAGAGAUGUUCAGGCAGAGACCAGGAAGGGAUGUCUUAACUCAAACUAGGAAGAUGGUAACUGCCACUCAGCAAAAUGGCCAUCCUGGGAAACAGAUCUUAUACUCUGGAGUCCACACCAUGUUAAGGUCUUACGGGAAAUAUUCAGGAUAUUGGCUACCACUAGCAGUUGUCAUUAGGGUCCUAGAUGACUCAAAUUUAGGAGAAAGGUGGCCCAUUUGAAAACAGAGAAGGAAGAAAAUAUGGCUUUGCUAUGAGAUGGCCUUUCAGUGUGAUCAUUAGUCUAAAGUGACAGGAAAUUGAUAAGCAAGUCCUACUAGGUUGGAAAAGCUGAUUUAUCUGGCUAAAAUUAGAGCACAGAUAACAAUGGGGAACCUAAUAGGAGAAAAAACUGGGGGCUCUGGAAAAACAUUCCCCUCCAUUCCCAGGCCUCUCUCAAGCAUCUCAUCUUAAGGCCAUCAAACUUGACAAAGGGGACGAUUGACUUGUGAAUAUGCAGUUGGAUUAUCGCUCAGGGAUAAGGAGCAAAUCUGGGGGGGGCCUCCUUACUUCAUAGAUAAAGGAAGACACCACUAAUCUGAGGAGCAGGAAGAUUUGGGCAAGGCGUAGAGGCCAGUUGCAAGGAUUCCAACCUAAGAAGAUCUCCAGCUCUAAUUAGCAGCCUACAGACUUGAAUAGAAGAAAUACAUUAAGUUCUUAAGUCUGAGUUUCCAAGAAAAGUGGCCAACUCUGGCCUGAGAUUGCCCCAUCCCUCAGGCAAUCCCUGAACUUGUACCUACAGGAAGUGGGUGCUCCCUCAAACAGUGACUCUCUUGGAAAGGCAUCUAUCCCAUGCCCACUCCAAUGCCAACAGGGCAGUACAGUGAAUGAGGGAAAUCCACACAAAAUCAGAAAUGGGCUGCCAUUUUGUCCAAUGGAGGAACUUGCUUUACCAUCAGGUCAGGGGGAGUCUUCAAUAUUUCCUUUAAGCAGGAUAUUGUGUGUACUGUUGACCAGUGGCUACUAAAUGUUUUCCAUUUUCCCCUCUCUAAAGAGAAAUUCUUUUUUUAAAAAAAUAUAUUUUUAGUUGUAGAUGGACACAAUACUUUUAUUUUAUUUGCAUAUUUUUAUGUGGUGCCGGGGAUUGAACUCAGUGCCUCAUGCAUGCUAGGCAAGCACUCUGCCCACUGAGCCACAAUUCCACCCCCUCUAAAGAGAAAUUCUUAUUGCAGAUGUCCUUUAACUGUUUCCCCCCACCCUCAGCAUUGUUGGCUAUGUUAAAGGUGGUGAACUUUGGCAUUUUGUUCAUAGGUUACCUCCAGACAGUGUGAGAUGUACCUUCCCCAACAAGAUAACCUUGAAUCUGAAUCUAGUCGCUAGAUGAAUCACAGGGUUGCUCCCUUUGUGGGAGGGAGGGAGUCCACUUUAGCCAUAUAUAGAUAUUGCUGAUGAUUAUGUAAGGGAAAGGGUGUUAUAUGGAUAUUGGAUAGCCAGAGGUAGACUUUGGUUGAACAUUAUGGUUAGGUUUUAACACCCAUCUCCCAUUCUCUAGAUAAUAAUCCUGAUUUUUUUCAGGUAACUACACAUGAACUCACAGCUUAUAUGUCUUAGAGAAAGCCAUCUCUAUUCCCAGAUCUAGGUCUGGGGCAUUAGGCUGACAUUAAGCUCACACUAGGGACCCCAGACAGAUCUUCGAGAAUGGAUGAGGCAUUUUCCUGGGACUUCUGAAAGAAGAGUUCUCUCUCUCUUUCUGAUAUGUGUGUGUGUGUGUGUGUGUGUGUGUGUGUGUCACAUAUAUGUUAUAGUUGGCACAAUACCUUUAUUUUAUUUGUUUAUUUUUAUGUGGUGCUGAGAAUCGAACCCCAGAGCCUUGCACCUGCUAGGCAAGCACUGUACCACUGAGCCACAACCCCAGCCCCUCUUUUCCUGAUUUUGAGGUGACAUUUUUAGAGAAUAUGAAUGUUAGAGUAGUCAUUUCAUCACCAUGAGCAGAACAAGGAGGUAAAGUAGAAAUAAUCAUAGAGAAAUAGAUCUGCAACCUUGACUGUACCAUAUCCACCUUCACCCCUGGACGUCAAGUUAUACAAUGUCAGUUUGAAGAGUUUUCUGUUACAUGCAACCAAACAAAUAACUAUAAUAGAGUAGGAUAAAUGCUAGAAUAAAAAAGUAUGACAAAAGUGUUGGGUGGUUUAGAAAGAAGGUAGGUUAAUUAGUAAGGAAAAGUGGCUGUUAAAGCAUGUAAGGUGGAAAGAGUUGGACAGGGAUAUAACAUGGUUCUUACUAUUAAGCAUACACUUUUCACUGGGAAUUUAGUCAACUUGUCUGCAGCCAUCAUUGCACAUCUCUUUGCCCAUCCAAAUGGGAAUGGAAGUGUAAAGCCCUCAGUGCAGGGCACCAUACCUGAAAUUGAAAAGUCCCCAAUAAAUGUUGGAUGAUGGAAGGAAGUCUACCAUCUGUUGCCCCCAAUCCCUUAAUAGGCUGAGGGAGCUCCCUAAUGUCCACUCACACUGUGAGCAGUCAGCCAUCUCCUAAUUCUUUUUCUUCCCCCACUGCUGUUGCAGGAGAUGGAUCACAUGUCUCCCAGGCUGAGAGCCUUCCUCUCUGAACCCAUUGGAGAAAAAGAUGUUGGCUGGGUGGAUGGGGUCAGCCAUGAACUUGCCAUCAAUUUGAUUACCAAAGGGUUCACCAAGGUAAUUCAUUUUUUUCUUCUUCAACUUUUCUUCUCUUCUCCCAAGUCCUGCCAGAUGGCAGCCACUGCCAUGCAUCCCUCUGAAGGUCCAUCAGCGAACAAAGCUGCCACUUGGCCAGGAGCCACAUUCUUCAGUGCUACUGACCCCAUAUGCUUGAGAAAGCUCAAGGAUUUGUAGCCAAUAGGCAAAGAGAAUUGCUUUAGCUCAGAGAAGCAGGGCUGGGUAAGAUUUGCUAAGAGUCCAAAUACUCAGGGCUUGACAGAAAUGGGCUUACCAUUAGAGUCUGGGGCAGUAUCAGAACAGAUGAUAUGGUGCACUCCCUGCUUCCAUAAAGGGGACCUGUGGAACUUUCCUUGCCCUGUCAGAGCAUUAGCGCAGGAAUGACAGGUGGAGAACCAAUAGACUGUGGUCUGCCUCAGAGACAGGGGACUUGAGUUAUUCUAAGAUAUCAUUUCUAAGCCAAGAAUGACCUCAAGAUAUCCAACAGAAUAUGAAUGUAGAAGUCUGUUUUCCAUUGCUAUAACAAAAUGCUUGAGAAUUGGGUACUUUAUAAAGAAAAGAGUUUUAUUUAGUUCAUAGUUUGGGAGACUUAAAGUCCAAGGUUGGACCACAUGUUUGACUUUUUGGUGAGGGCCCUCCUGGCCACAUCACAACAUGGUACACGACAUCAUGGUAGGAGCCAUGAAAGAAGGAGCAGUCACAUGACAAGACAAGAAACCAGAUGGUGGGGAGGGGCCAUUUUUAUUUGCCUAUUUAUUUAUUAAUUGAUACUAGGGAUUGAACCAAUGUCUCAUGCAUGCUAAGCAUGUACUCUACCACUGAGCUACAUCCCCAGUCCCUAUUCUUGCUCUAUUUAUAGGAAUAAAUAUUAAGAAUAAAAAAUAACAAUUUCUUGCUCUCUUGGGAACUAACCAGGGUCCCAUGAGAAUUACAUUGAUCCCUUCCCCUGGACCAAAUCAUCUUCCACUAGGCCCCACCUCUUAAAAUUCCAUUACCUCUACACCACCCCACUGGGUGUCAAGCCUCCAACACAGGAAUUUUGGGGGAACAAAGCACAUCAAAACUGUAGCCCUGAAUAUUCUAUGUAGUAACUUGUUUUUAUGGGGCUAUGAAAAAGCUAUUUGGAACCUCAGGAGAGAAUGGCAAAAGUCCCAAAGGAAGCAAUUAUUUGCCAGGGAGUCUGGGAAUUCACACAACCUUGCAACUCCAGUCAAGAGGCAUCUACUUGACCUACUGCUAUGAAUUCCCUUCAGUUUUCAAACCCAAUCUAUACCACCAGGCAAGAAGAUCUUAUAGAAACACUCAAAAGAGGCUGGGAACUACUGCCUGCACAGCUGGUGAUCUGUUGGUUUGUGCCCAAAUCUGAAGCAUUGGGCCCACGGUUUUCUGAUUGACACUUGGCACUGGACCGGUUGUUAUAUAUUCUGAAUCUCACCCCGAUCUACCCUCCAACUUAAUAUCCAUUUUGGUGGUAUCAUCAGGAAACUGGAGCUCCACAAUUGAGGUGGAGCCCUGAUAAAGGAUCGAGAGCCAUUCCCAAGCAGGUAGUGAAGUGGGCAAGUCUGAUUAGGAUAGAUAUUUUAAAUGAAGCAUUCCUUAAAAAAAAAUGAUUGUUCCUUUUAUUCUUCUAUUGUAGUGUAACAUAAUUGUGGGGAUGGGGAUAUGCGUUUAGUAUGAAGAGUUCAGAUCAAUGAAUUUUUACAUAUGGAUGCACCCAGGUACACACCAUCUGGAACCAGCAAUCUGACACGUUCAAAAUUCCAGAUGGUGCCUUUGCUCCUCUUCCCAGCCAGUGCCAUCCGUAUCCCCAGAGUAACCACUCUUCUGAUGUCUACCACCAUUGAUUUAAUGUUUCCAUAAUGGUGGAGUUUUAUUAUUGUUGCUAAGCUCUAUGCUUAGCAUUUAAACACUUUUUGUUAAGGUAUGAUUUACAUAAGUAAAUUUCACCUUUUGUAUCAUACAUUGCUGUGAGUUUUGACAGUCCUGUAGCCAUUGCCACAAUCAAGACACAGAACAAUCCCACCAUUCCAAAAUAUUCAUUCCCUUGUGUCUUGAUACUCACCACCCUCAGUUCCUGGCAACAACUUAUUUGUUUUCUUAUGUAUAUAGUUUUGCCUUUUCCAGUUCAACUUUGUUUUAAAUAAGGAUUAUUGUUGGUAUGUCAGACGUCUUUAAGAUAAAGGAAUGAAUGACGAAGUGGAAAAUUUUCAGGGCCCUAGAACUUGCCUGCAUAGAGUCAGGGGUAUAGGGUUGGCCCAUGUGCAUCCUGGUCCAUAGACAUGUGCCCCUCCGGUGUUCGUGACCUCAUGGCUGGCAGUGUCCAGUGCCCCACCCUCAGCCCUGUGCAUUUUGAGAACCAUGGCUCUGACACUAGGGAUCUCACUGUUAUCCUCUGCUUUGCGCCUCCUCACCUGUUAUUUAGGUGAUGAUAGCUGUCUCUGCUUUAUAAGUGAGGAAACAGAAACUCUGGGAGAUAGUGUCUGACUGAGGUUCUGGGUAAAAAUAAGAAUGACCAUGAAUUACACUGUCAUAAACUACACAAGAAGUUUCAGGUGGGUUAUGGCAGGCAGGGAGGAGGCUUAGACUAAGAUUUGGUAGUGAGACCCCUGUAUCAGGCCCCAGAGCCCAGAUGAGCCCACAGGAAGACCCAGGAGGAGGCCCAGAUGAUCAAGUGCCACUGGUCCCUGGGCAAGGCCAGAAAUCAGAGCAUGUGGGCAGGCAGAUGGUGACAGGGCAGGGUUCUCAGAUGUAGCUGAUGAAAAUACAGGUUCCUAUGUUUUUAUUCACUGCCUGUCAGGAACCUAAACUUGGCAGAAGGAGGGACAUCUUUCUGGGUCUCAAGCCACUCUCAGACUUUGCUGGCCUCUGCUGAGGCGUAGCUGAGCCCUUCCCUUUCCCUACCUAGACUGGGACCUCAGUGUCUUUGCCAUGAGGUAGCACUGCCUCUGAACCCACCUUUGCUGUUAACAUCUUUCCUGGACUUGUCCCGUGGGCACUGGCUCUUUCCAUACCCCUUCUAAGUACCUGGGAUGCAGUCUGGUAGGCAGUACCUAGUACCUUCUCCUCUGUCCCUGCCCCCAUACAAGUCUUUCAUCUUUUCUUCAAUAGAAGACUGGGGUACGAGAAAAGGGGACCGUGCUUACAUCCUCCCCACUUUCCCCAGAGCUCUAGUUAGGGCAUGAACUGCUUUCCAACUCAUGGUUUGAAACAUAACUUUUCAAAACUAUUGAUUAGCUGGGCACAGUGGCACAAGCCUACAGUCCUGGCUACUUGGGAGGCUGAGGCAGGAAGAUGCUUGAGCCCAGAAAUUUAAAAACCAGCCUGGGCAACAUAGUGAGGUGUCAUCUCAAAAACAAAACAAACCAAACACUAAAAUAAACCAAAAUAAAACAAAUGCAAGAAAACAAAACUGGAUUCACCCAAGUCUCUUCAGGAAAGAAAUGUAAAAAAAAAAAAAAAAAAUUACAUUUCUCAAGAGAAAUGUACCUGUGAUCUCUCUUGGUUAUCUUGUGCCUUCACUUUCCUGGAACAGUCACCUUUGGCCUGAGGAUCUAGAUCCAAAAUGGUAGCCACCAACCACAUCUGCCUGCUGAGCAUUUAUCUGAAUGAAGAUGUCCCAGAAAUCUAAAAUACUCACUUUUCUAUUAAAGUCUUAAAGUCUCCAUCUUAAAAGUAUACAGGGUGAUGAUAGUUGUCUCUGCUUUAUAAAUGAGGAAACAGAAGCUCUUUAUUAUCUCAUCAAUAAUUUUUUAUUGAUUACAUAUUGAAAUGAUAAUAUUUUGGGAUUAUGGGACAAAAUAAGAUUUACCAUUAGAAUUCAUUCCAGCUGUUUCCUUCCCCCUUGUUCCUUCUGUGGCUUCUAGAAGAUUAUACAUUACAUAUUGGCUGGUUCAUCUUCUAUUUCUAUUGGCCCAGAAGUAGGAUUAUGGAAGAAAGGAAUUAUGGAAAUGGAAAAAUCCAUUAUGCCCAUGGCGUCAAGACUUGCCACAGCCUUCCUUGAACUCUCUUGUACGCUUGUGCUCCCCACCCUUAUCCCACCCACUACCACCCCUGCAUUAGUGCCAGGCUGUCUGUGAACCACAAACACCUAGGGGAGCCACCCUCCUCCAACCUGUGGUCUCUUGAAAUGGACCUUAGUCCCCUUCAAGCUUCUAAUUAGAGCCUCCUUCUUCUAGGAAACCUUCCUUCUGCCCACCCCACCCAACAGCUCCUUUUUCUGAGCAAUACAAUUUUUCAGUGGGUCAUCAGUACACUGUUGUCCUACUGUUGACUAUGGUACAUGUGGCCUGAGAGCCCGCACUGAUGUCAGAGACACAACAUGCCUGUGGUUUUUCUCUCUAAACUCCUCUGAGCAGAGGAUGAGUCUGUGUCUUCGUACUUGUCUCUUCCCUAGGACAACUCACCCAGAGGUGGUGGAUUUCCACAUAUUCAGUAAAUUCAGUGAUGUUGGGCAGGGCCUUGUGGGGUGUGCAUACCACUGUGGAGAUAGCUCUGGGGUUCUCCAAUAGCAUGGAGGUAACUUUAACAUCCCAGAGAAUCUGGUUGGUUUUAGAGAUUUUUACAGACUUCGUAAAGUCAUGUUCUUGAGCCCAAAUCCUUCUCCUGAGAGAUACUUAGAGGAUCAGAAUGGAGUAAAUGUCUUGAUUGCCCACCUGCUCUGCAUAUCUCUGCUAAUAGAUAUAGCAUGUGGUGUUUGCUACAUGUCAGGCACUUCUAAGUGCAUCACAUAUAUUUAAUCUUAUUUAAUUAUCAAAAAAUCCUUUGCAUCACAUAUAUUUAAUCUUAUUUAAUUAUCAAAAAAAAUCCUUUGAGGUAGACUAUUUAUCUCCAUAUUGCUGAUGGGGAAACUGAGGAGCAGAGAGAUCAUGUGUGGCUUGCUCAAGCUCACAUGAGAUGACAGAGAUGAAAUCUGAAUCUGGGUAGACAGGUUGUAGGGUCUGGAUACUACACCAUCACUGUCUGCCCUCCUGAAAUUGAAGUGUGACGGAGGCGUUUCCCAUGCAGCUGCCCUGACCUGGAUUACCUGCAAGGCUCUUCUCUCUCUUACCUUGCCUGCCUCAUGUUACCAUACCUUUAUCUCAAGACUGUCCAGAUUCCAGGAUCUCCAUCUCCUUCCAAAGCCACUUAGUUGUAAUUAGCAGAGAGGAGAGAAGGCUGAACUCAGGACCAGGAAGCCCCAGUGAGGUCAGCCCUGGUCUCCCUCAGGUCCCAAGAUGCCUAUGACUAAGCUGCUAAGGGCUCUAGUUCCUGCCUGUCCUCUCUGCUGACACUUGACUUCGCUGCCUGACAUCUGGACCCUGGCAGGAAUCAGUACAUAAGUUUGGAUGUUACCCUGCAUAGGGUUGCCAGAUGAAAUAACAAAAUACAGUUAAAUUUGAAUUUUGGAUAGAUGGAUAAUGUUAUAGUAUAGCAUGACCCAAGGAGACAGGGAAGAGAAUAAACGGCAAGACCUAUAUUAGAUUGUGCAUUCACACUAAAGGCACAGUGUUUUAGACCUGAAAUGACCCAGAGAUAUUGGACUAGUCAAUGUCUGAUUAGAGAAAAUCGGAAAAAGUGGUGUUGUUUCUCCCUGAGGUCUUUUAGUGGUGUGAAGUACAUUCCAUAUAGGCAUUCAGGAGCCGGGGACCUAAGCAGAGGAAGUGUAAGAAACUUGAGAUAAGAGACAAGACCAGGUGUCAUAGUGAAGGUCCAAAAAAUUAUUAUGAAUGCAGAUGAGGACCAACUCCCUGAUUUUCAUGCCCAGAGCAAAAUGAAAAUGUGAGGAGGCCCUUUGUUCCAAUGGAUUAAGCAAUUGGCUUUUCAAAGUGUGGGACCCUGGGCAACCACAUAGGUUACACCCAAGGAAAUCCAACCCCCGUGCAGAUUUAGAUUGCUUCUGUUUAUCAGAAGUGGACACAGUGAGUAAAGGGGGGUGGUUCCUACCCUGCUUGGAAGAAGUCCCUGGAUAAGCAUCCCUGCUUAGACUUGAGGGCAAGUCUCCCAUGGAGCUGCCGUCUUGCUGCUAUAGGAAGAAACAUACAUCCCUGGCUUGCCGUGGCCUCUCAGGGGAGUGGGAAUGUAGAGUCAUCUGCUCAGGGUUUCUGUGUUUCUAUGUCCCCCUCCUUGCAGCUGGUUUUUCUUUGGCUCAAGAAGGCAGGUUAGGGGUUCACUUUCUGGAGACAGUGGAGAAACCAAGUGGACACUGGGCAGAGUCAUGCUGUGAGCCCAUGACUCCUGCUUCCCUUGGGAGCAAGAUGAAGUCCACAGGAAUGAAGCAAGAAGGUAGGUCAUCUUUCCUUGUCUAUCCACUGGAAGAUGCACAGGGAAAGCUGAGGAUGGAGCAUCAGGUUGCAACUCCACUGUGGAAGCCCUUCCUCCUGCAGCAUUCUUGGAAAGCUUGCCUGGGUCCUGCUGGCCACAUAGACCUAGGUUUCCUGGCUGCUGGGCCUGGUAGCAUAUGGAAACUGCAAUUACCAGGUCAGCUGAUGCUAGCAGCUGGUCUCAGAAACAGGCAGAGGAUGGCUGAACCUCCAGACUGGACUGCAGAUGGUUGAGAGGUGGAAGAAUGCAGUGGAGGGAGGCACGAGUCUUAAUCUCUUAGAUUCUUGAGAACUCUUAUCUGGAGAAGGGGAUGAGCAGGGCACCCAUGAGAUUCAGAUGUAUUAAAACAUACUGGGUGUCUCCAGCAGUGUGUAGCCUGCCAAAGUUCUCAAAAGUGCCACUUCCUAGUAUUAUUAAUAUUGUUAUGAUGAAUGUUUCUCUCCUUGGACAAAGCUCACUGGCUCUCCAUCCCGUUAUAUUCACCUUGGCACCUCCCAUACCUACAGCAGCUGGCUCAAUUGACACUUAAUACAUGCUCAGUUUUUUAAAUGCUUAUUUUAAAAUAUCUGUUAACUCUACCAGUGCAAAUGAGAGAGGAUACUGAUGAAAAAUGAGAUCAUACCAACCAACUGCUCAAAAAAAAAAAAAAAAGAUUAAAGUAACAGUUUCAAAUCACCAUGAAAUCUUGGCUUUUUUCCUCUUUUCAACAAUGGGACCAUGACUAAAAAUAAAACCCCAUGCUGGAGUGUAGCUCAGUGGUAGAGCACUAGCCUAUGUUCAAUCCCCAGCACUACGAAAAAUAAAUGAUAAGUAAAAAUAAUACCUUCAAACUUCAUUGCUUAGGUACAUUUUAUGACUGGGAUUCAGUUUUUAUUUGAUUUCUCUUUUGUAAAAAACGUUUCCUUUGAUUAAGAUGAAGUUUGCUUUGUUUUACAUCACUUAAAGUCAACAGACACCAGAGGGUUUUCAUGGAAAGAGUCCAGAACUUGAAGGCAUGAGUGAACACUGGUUUUCGUUGGUUCCAGACUGGAAAGGGCCCAAACCAGUCCCAAGAGAUGGACAUGUAAUGUGACGUGAAAUCUCUAGUCUCCACCAUGGAGCGGUUUGGCCAGUUUAUGGCCAUGUGGUCUUUGGGAGGUCUUUUUCUCCACGUGGCCCUUUUUUGUUGUUGUUGUUAAUAAUGGUGUGAUGAAAUUGUAAAAUCUUUGGAAUGUAGGUAUUAAAAACUAGAGACUACCAUUGGAAUAUAAAUCAUAGUGCACUUAAUAUUUAGCUUAAUGUCUUUGUUAUCCACAGAGACUCUUAGAAAGUGUAUUAGUCAGGGUUCUCCAGAGAAACAGAACCAACAGGAUAUAUAUGAUUAAAAGGGGGGAUUUGUUGGACUAGCUCACAUGGUCAGGGGCUGAAUAUUCCCACAAUGACUGUCUGCAGGCUGGAGAGCCUGAAAAACUGGUAGCUGCUCAAUCUAAAAAGUCUGAAGCCUCAGAACCAGAGAAAGAGAACCAGUAGGAGGCUUGGGAAAGAGGGACAAAGCUGAGCAUGUUUCAUAUCUUCUAUGCUCUUCCCACAGGGCCACAUCUCUCAGGACAAAGGAGAAAUCUGCAUUUUUUGAACGUUUUUUUGCAUUUGAUUCACUUCAUUUGCAGGGCAGGUCACAUGAUGUGCCUUAGAGAGGUACAGACACUGAGACCUAGGUCCUGCUGAGCCUUACUUCAGGGGGAGUUGCCUGAGAUCACACAGGUGGUUUGCAAAGACAAGUCGAUGCUAAGAUGACCUUCACCUGCCAGUUGCACGUGCACUGGUUCUCAGCAGAGGAGAGUUUAGCUCCAAGUGGGGGGUGUGGCAAAGAUCCAGGAUGCUACUACACAUCCUGCAGUACACAGGACAGACCCACAGCGUAGAAUUCUCUAGUGUCAGAAAUGCUGAGAUUGUGAGAACCCUGUGUUAACAGCAGUUGAGAAAAUAGUGAAGGUGAAAAAAAAAAGUGUGUGCGCGCGCGAGUGUGUGCGUGUAUGUGUGUGUGUGUGUGUUUCAAAGAGAGAAAUACUGGAUGAGAGGUCUGAAAGGAGUUUCUGAAGUACGUGAGGCCCCCUCCUCAAAACAAUGUCCUGGACCAGCCUCAGCUGGGAGCUUGUUAGAAAUGGGGACUCUCAGGUCCCACCUAGACUUAGGCUCUCUGAAUCAUAACUUGCCUUUUCAUGGGAUCCCAGAGGAUUUCUGUGCUCACUUUGAGGAGGACAGGGUCUGGUUCAAUCUAGGCUGGACAGUUCCUAAAGCAACCCAGAGAGCUCGGCGUUGAACUUGGCCUUACUUCUCACCAGGAACCCAUAUCUGGAUCCUCCUGGAACAAGCCAGAGCUUCAGGACUGACAGUCUUCCUCAAAUUGGACCUGUACCCCAACCUUUGAUUGUUCCAUGAGUUCCAAUGUUUGGGGAAGAAAGGGCGCAUCUGACCGGGACUAUACUAACCAUUCCCAUUUUCCUCCCUGCCUUGUCCCUUUCCCCAGGCCUACAUCCUGUUGGGACAGUUCCUUCUGAUGCACAAAAACGAGGCUGAGUUUCAGAAGUGGAUCAUUUGCUGUUUUGGUGCCACCGAGUGUGAGGCCCAGGAGAGCUCUAACUGUCUGAAGGAAUGGUGUGCCAGCUUCCUGUAGAAACACCCUACCACUCUGCCCCUGGGUAAAUGAUGCCUUCUACAUCUAAACCCAGGCUCCUAGUCAUUAUUUGUGUUUUUAACUUCAUUGUUACCCAUGCAUCCAAAAGAAAUACAAAAAUAAACAAGAGCAAUCACAAGAAAAAUCACCCCAAAACCUACUGCCUAGAAACUGCCAUCAUUCACUUUAGAUGAAUAUCAUGCCCUGUAGCUC
rnacentral:lncRNA from 1 species